GUACUAUUCAUGAUUCACACUUCUACUCAUUAUCCUGUUUCUGGUGUAUUCAUUUUAGUCUAUUAAAAUAAUUUUUUCUAACAGUCCAGUGCUCCUCAACAGAGGCAGUCUCAGAUGGUGAUUAAGACCAACUCCAGACACUGCAUACCAGAUCAGAGUUCAACAGGUGAAUUGUCCAGUAUUGACUUGACAGGAGAGGAAACAGCCUUAACUUCACUCUCACUUUGGCCACUACAGAUGGAAUAGCUCCAGGCCAAAGCUACGGACUUGAAAUUCAAUUUGGGCCUCCCACGUGGGUGAAAGAGAUGCUGGAACUUGAGCCUUCAUUUACUGAGUACCAGGGUAUGUAUUAGCAGAAACCUGGAUUGGAAGCAAAAUGGUAAGUAUUCGAACCGGGCACUCAGAUAUGGGAUGUUGCCAUCAUGCAGCAGCUAAACUACUGCACUAAAUGCAUACCCCACUAUUGUCUUAUCAAUAUUCACAUCUCUUCUUUAUACUUGCCACAGUUCUGACUCUGGGUAUAUUUCAGGCGUGGAUCUUUGUGGUGAGUGCGUACAACAAUAACUUGUCCCUGACUUGAAUGAGAAUGCAUGCGAUAUCUAAUAUUCAACCAUGUUUGCUUCAAUUUUAAGGAAAGAAAAUUCAAUUUUUCUUCAUAUAUAUUUGAGAGACAGAUAAGGAGACAGAGAGCUCCCACCUUCUGGUUGGUUUCCCAAAUUCCUGCAAGAGUCAGGGCCCAGGGUCUGGAAACUUAAGUCUCCCAGAUGAGUGGCAGGAAUUCAGUGAUUUGAGCCAUCGCUUUUGCCUGCCAGUGUCUGCAUUAGCAGGAAGUUGGAGUUA